rnacentral:rRNA from 1 species
UACAGAGGUGGCAAGCGUUGUUCGGAAUUACUGGGCGUAAAGGGCGCGUAGGCGGCCUUCUAAGUCAGACGUGAAAUCCCCCGGCUUAACCUGGGAACUGCGUCUGAUACUGGGAGGCUUGAGUAUGGGAGAGGGAUGUAGAAUUCCAGGUGUAGCGGUGAAAUGCGUAGAUAUCUGGAGGAACACCGGUGGCGAAGGCGGCAUCCUGGACCGAUAUUGACGCUGAUGCGCGAAAAGCCAGGGGGAGCAAACGGGG